rnacentral:lncRNA from 1 species
AGCACCCCACGAUGCUCAGGUUCAUCGAAGCCUACAACAACAUGGUUUUGGUCUAACUCAACCUAAAAGACUAGCCUGAUAUGUUAGGACUGCCCCAGCUAUAUAUUGUGCUCCCCACCAUCAAUUUUUGAUGUGGGACUAAACCAAAUAAUCUCACCCGUCACACAUCGGGCCCAACUCUUCCAUCACAUACAACCCAUGUGAUCUCUCGAAGAUGUUAUCCCAUGCCCCGAGUCCAAC